AGACGGGGGGUGCUAGCGUUGUUCGGAAUUACUGGGCGUAAAGGGCGCGUAGGCGGCUCUGCGAGUCGGGCGUGAAAUCCCGGGGCUCAACCCCGGAACGGCGCUCGAUACUGCGGGGCUGGAGACCGGAAGAGGAGGGUGGAAUUCCCAGUGUAGAGGUGAAAUUCGUAGAUAUUGGGAGGAACACCGGUGGCGAAAGCAGCUCUCUGGUCCGGUUCUGACGCUGAGGCGCGAAAGCGUGGGGAGCAAACAGGAUUAGAAACCCUAGUAGUCC
rnacentral:rRNA from 1 species